rnacentral:rRNA from 1 species
ACUCCUACGGGAGGCAGCAGUGGGGAAUAUUGCACAAUGGGCGCAAGCCUGAUGCAGCAACGCCGUGUGAGUGAUGAAGGCCUUCGGGUCGUAAAACUCUGUCCUAUGGGAAGAAUAAAAUGACGGUACCAUAGGAGGAAGCCCCGGCUAACUACGUGCCAGCAGCCGCGGUAAUACGUAGGGGGCAAGCGUUAUCCGGAAUCACUGGGCGUAAAGGGUGCGUAGGUGGCUUAUCAAGCCAGGGGUGAAAGGCAUUGGCUCAACCAAUGUAAGCCUUUGGAACUGAUAAGCUUGAGUGCAGGAGAGGUAAGUGGAAUUCCUAGUGUAGAGGUGAAAUUCGUAGAUAUUAGGAGGAACACCAGUGGCGAAGGCGACUUACUGGACUGUAACUGACACUGAGGCACGAAAGCGUGGGGAGCGAACAGGAUUAGAUACCCUGGUAGUC